CGUGUAGGCGGUCUGGUAAGUGGGAUGUGAAAUCCCUCGGCUCACCCGAGGAUCUGCAUCCCAUACUGCUAGGCUUGAGUACGGGAGAGGAUGAGGGAAUUCCUGGUGUAGCGGUGAAAUGCGUAGAUAUCAGGAGGAACACCGGUGGCGAAAGCGCUCAUCUGGCCCGAUACUGACGCUGAGGCGCGAAAGCUAGGGGAGCAAACG
rnacentral:rRNA from 1 species